AACGAACGCUGGCGGCAGGCCUAACACAUGCAAGUCGAGCGCCCUCGCGAGGGGGAGCGGCGGACGGGUGAGUAACGCGUGGGAACGUGCCUCUUGCUACGGAAUAGCCUCGGGAGACUGGGAGUAAUACCGUAUGUUCCCUACGGGGGAAAGAUUUAUCGGCAAGAGAUCGGCCCGCGUUGGAUUAGGUAGUUGGUGGGGUAAUGGCCUACCAAGCCGACGAUCCAUAGCUGGUUUGAGAGGAUGAUCAGCCACACUGGGACUGAGACACGGCCCAGACUCCUACAGGAGGCAGCAGUGGGGAAUCUUAGACAAUGGGCGCAAGCCUGAUCUAGCCAUGCCGCGUGAGCGAUGAAGGCCUUAGGGUUGUAAAGCUCUUUCGUGGGGGAAGAUAAUGACUGUACCCCAAGAAGAAGCCCCGGCUGACUCCGUGCCAGCAGCCGCAGUAACAC
rnacentral:rRNA from 1 species